ACCGAGCCUUCGGGCUCGGGGACAGCGGCGAACGGGUGAGUAACACGUGGGCAACCUGCCCUCGGCACUGGGAUAGCCCGGGGAAACCCGGAUUAAUACCGGAUAGCCUCCGGAGCCUUCGGGCGCCGGAAGAAAGGUGGCUUCGGCAUCCGGCCGAGGACGGGCCCGCGGCGGAUUAGCUUGUUGGUGGGGUAAUGGCCUACCAAGGCAACAAUCCGUAGCUGGUCUGAGAGGACGAUCAGCCACACUGGGACUGAGACACGGCCCAGACUCCUACGGGAGGCAGCAGUGGGGAAUCUUGCGCAAUGGGCGAAAGCCUGACGCAGCGACGCCGCGUGCGGGAAGAAGGCCUUCGGG
rnacentral:rRNA from 1 species